UAGGGAAUAUUGGUCAAUGGGCGAGAGCCUGAACCAGCCAUGCCGCGUGCAGGAUGACGGCCUUCUGGGUUGUAAACUGCUUUUAUAUGGGAAGAAAAAGGUCUUGCGAGACAAAUUGCCGGUACCAUAUGAAUAAGCACCGGCUAACUCCGUGCCAGCAGCCGCGGUAAUACGGAGGGUGCAAGCGUUGUCCGGAUUUAUUGGGUUUAAAGGGUGCGUAGGCGGUUGAUUAAGUCAGUGGUGAAAUCCUACAGCUUAACUGUAGAACUGCCAUUGAUACUGGUUGACUUGAGUACUGUUGAGGUAGGCGGAAUUUAUGGUGUAGCGGUGAAAUGCAUAGAUACCAUAAAGAACACCGAUAGCGUAGGCAGCUUACUAGACAGUGACUGACGCUGAGGCACGAAAGCGUGGGGAGCGAACGGGAUUAGAUACCCCGGUAGUCC
rnacentral:rRNA from 1 species